GAUGAACGCUAGCUACAGGCUUAACACAUGCAAGUCGAGGGGUAACGAGAGGAAAGCUUGCUUUCCUUGUCGACGACCGGCGCACGGGUGAGUAACGCGUAUCCAACCUGCCCCCAACUAGGGAAUAACCUUGCGAAAGUAAGACUAAUACCCUAUAAUUUCCUCAGAUGUCAUCUGACGAGGAAUAAAGAUUUAUCGGUUGUGGAUGGGGAUGCGUCUGAUUAGCUUGUUGGCGGGGUAACGGCCCACCAAGGCAACGAUCAGUAGGGGUUCUGAGAGGAAGGGCCCCCACAUUGGAACUGAGACACGGUCCAAACUCCUACGGGAGGCAGCAGUGAGGAAUAUUGGUCAAUGGGCGGAAGCUUGAACCAGCCAAGUAGCGUGCAGGAUGACGGCCCUAUGGGUUGUAAACUGCUUUUAUACAGGAAUAAAGUUAACCACGUGUGGUUAUUUGUAGGUACUGUAUGAAUAAGGACCGGCUAAUUCCGUGCCAGCAGCCGCCGUAA
rnacentral:rRNA from 1 species